rnacentral:snRNA from 1 species
GUGCUUGCUUCAGCGUCACCUACACUAAAAUUGGAAUGAUACUGAGAUUAGUGCGGCCCUGGCCAAGGACAGCAGGGAAAUUUGUGAAGCACUCCAUAAAAAA